GUUGAUUUGGAUAUUUUUCUUAAUUUCUUCGUGGCCUAAGAAGAUGACUCCACUCACUCAAUUGUGAACUAUCCAAAAAAGAUUAUGCUACGUUAUUUAAGAACUUGGUUUACUCUUCAUGUCAUGUGCAAUAUUUCCCCAAGGAUUACUGAAAUGCUAAUAUAUACUACAUAUUUAACCUAUGGCAUACUCCGCCUACUUCAAUAUUUAUGGAAUAUUGGAAAAGUUCAUGCUUUUUUGAAUUUGAGGAUGAUAUAAGAUAUAAUUUUGUUGGGUUUCGUUGUGGUAAGCUUGUCUUGCGCAUGGGUGGGGGAAGCAAUGGAUCAAAGUUUAUGAACAAGAUAUGUGGCUUCCAGCUACCGGUUUAGGUCUACUAUAUUUAGAACAGUUCACCUUAGAGAUUUACAUGCUAAUGUGGUGGAAAUGGCAUUUAUCAUUUUGUUUAAGUUAAUGAAGAUGGGACUUGCAGGAUAUGUGCUUGGUAGUGUGCUCGGGUGUAUUCGCAGUUUAUAACUAUGACAUAGGUUCGAAUGUGAAGCUUCAAGCUA